rnacentral:rRNA from 1 species
GAUGAACGCUGGCGGCGUGCCUAAUACAUGCAAGUCGAGCGAACGGACGAGAAGCUUGCUUCUCUGAUGUUAGCGGCGGACGGGUGAGUAACACGUGGAUAACCUACCUAUAAGACUGGGAUAACUUCGGGAAACCGGAGCUAAUACCGGAUAAUAUUUUGAACCGCAUGGUUCAAAAGUGAAAGAAGGUCUUGCUGUCACUUAUAGAUGGAUCCGCGCUGCAUUAGCUAGUUGGUAAGGUAACGGCUUACCAAGGCAACGAUUCAUAGCCGACCUAAGAGGUAUAUCUCCGACUCUGAUGAAGAGAAACAGCCCUACCUCCAACAGGCGGCAACCGAACAGAAUCUUCCGCAAUGGACGAAGGCCUAACGGAGCAAAACCGCGGGAGUGAUGAAGGUGUUCGGAUCGUAGAGCUAUCUAGUUAGGGAGGAACAUAUGUGUAAGUAACUGUGCACAUCUUGACGGUACCUAAUCAGAAAGCCACGGCUAACUACGUG